GUCACUCCUCGCUUCACUAACGCUCUUCACCCACCUCCCUCUCCUUCUCCUUCUUCUCGAUGGAUCGCCUCCGAGCAGUCUUCUGCAUCGCCCUCCUCUGCCUCGCGGCCUCCGACUCCGCCGCACAGUCCCCCGCGGCCGCUCCCACCACCUCAGCCGCUGCCCCCUCCAAGUCGGCCACACCGGCACCCGCCAAAGCUCCCACCAAGCCCACCACCCCAGCCCCCGCUGCCGCGCCCACCAAGGCAGCCACCCCCUCCAUCGCCCCCGUAGCCGCUCCCACCACCACGCCCCCCGCCACGGCUCCUACCACCCCCGCCACCGUCGCGGCCCCCGCCAAGGCGCCCUCGGCGGCAACCCCGACCUCGACGCCGCCGUCGCCGGCGCCGGUGACGUCCCCGCCCGCACCGCCGCCAACUACGUUGCUGCCUCCCGCGGCUUCCCCCAUCCCAUCGACCCCGGUCCCGGCCGCGGCGCCGCCGAAGGUCGCGGAGACGCCCGCCCCAACGCCGAGCAAGAAGAAGAAGAAGAAGACGAAGAAGCACGCCGCUGCCCCCGCUCCGGGCCC
rnacentral:lncRNA from 1 species